UUAACACAAAAGAUUAGGAUGAAAACCCGAAAGGGCGUUCUAAUGAAGCAAGCACUGGCUUAAAAAGUAAGGCGUUUUGAACGGUGGGUCAAACAGAGAGACUACAGUAUUUGAAGCAUUUCUGAAAACUCGAAAUCUCUUACGCAAGAAAGCCAUGCUUGAAAAGAUUCUUGAUUGAGGAACGUGGAAGAGUUCAUGCGUUGAAUAUCUAGAGCAUUUGUAUUUGUUGAAAUGCGAUCCCCUUUCUCUUUAUGACACUUUUUUUACUAUCAUUGAUUAACUUUCUUUGUUUGCUACAUUUGAAAUGAAUAAAUGUGAGGUAUCCUUU
rnacentral:lncRNA from 1 species